rnacentral:SRP_RNA from 15 species
AUUUGAGGCCUUCAAGGAAGCAGCGCGAAGUGGAAACUUUAUUGUCUUGGGUCACUCCAUUGGAGCUCUU